GAUGAACGCUGGCGGCGUGCCUAAUACAUGCAAGUCGAGCGAACGGACGAGAAGCUUGCUUCUCUGAUGUUAGCGGCGGACGGGUGAGUAACACGUGUAUAACCUACCUAUAAGACUGGGAUAACUUCGGGAAACCGGAUCUAAUACCGGAUAAUAUUUUGAACCGCAUGGUUCAAAAGUGAAAGACGGUCUUGCUGUCACUUAUAGAUGGAUCCGCGCUGCAUUAGCUAGUUGGUAAGGUAACGGCUUACCAAGGCAACGAUGCAUAGCCGACCUGAGAGGGUGAUAGGCCACACUGGAACUGAGACACGGACCAGACUCCUACGGGAGGCAGCAGUAGGGAAUCUUACGCAAUGGGCGAAAGCCUGACGGAGCAACGCCGCGUGAGUGAUGAAGGUCUUCGGAUCGUAAAACUCUGUUAUUAGGGAAGAACAGAUGUGUAAGUAACUGUGCACAUCGUGACGGUACCUAAUCAGAAAGCCACGGCUAACUACGUG
rnacentral:rRNA from 1 species